GCCAUGCCGCGUGUGUGAGAGUCUUCGGAUUGUAAAGCACUUAAGUUGGAGAAGCAGUAAGUUAAUACCUUGCUGUAUGACGUUACCAACAGAUAAGCACCGGCUAACUUCGUGCCAGCAGCCGCGGUAAU
rnacentral:rRNA from 1 species